rnacentral:rRNA from 1 species
GACGAACGUUGGCGGCGUGCUUAACACAUGCAAGUCGAACGGAAAGGCCCUGCUUUUGUGGGGUGCUCGAGUGGCGAACGGGUGAGUAACACGUGAGUAACCUGCCCUUGACUUUGGGAUAACUUCAGGAAACUGGGGCUAAUACCGGAUAGGAGCUCCUGCUGCAUGGUGGGGGUUGGAAAGUUUCGGCGGUUGGGGAUGGACUCGCGGCUUAUCAGCUUGUUGGUGGGGUAGUGGCUUACCAAGGCUUUGACGGGUAGCCGGCCUGAGAGGGUGACCGGCCACAUUGGGACUGAGAUACGGCCCAGACUCCUACGGGAGGCAGCAGUGGGGAAUAUUGCACAAUGGGCGGAAGCCUGAUGCAGCAACGCCGCGUGCGGGAUGACGGCCUUCGGGUUGUAAACCGCUUUCGCCUAUGACGAAGCGUGAGUGACGGUAAUGGGUAAAGAAGCACCGGCUAACUACGUG